rnacentral:rRNA from 1 species
GACAGAGGGGCAAGCGUUGCUCGGAAUCACUGGGCGUAAAGGGCGCGUAGGCGGGAUGGCAAGUCAGUCGUGAAAUCUCUCGGCUCAACCGAGAAACGUCGGCUGAUACUGCCGUUCUUGAGGGAUGCAGAGGAGACUGGAAUUCCCGGUGUAGCGGUGAAAUGUGUAGAGAUCGGGAGGAACACCGGUGGCGAAGGCGGGUCUCUGGGCAUCUCCUGACGCUGAGGCGCGAAAGCGUGGGGAGCAAACAGG